GGUCCCUGCGAGCUCCUUGUCUCCACUGGUUCCGCGAGAGUCCUCUCUGGGCAGGCGGCGGGCGCGGAGUCAUGGAUUCGGCUUCGUGCGGAUUGCUGGCUUCACCCGGCGUGUGACGAGCCGUGGGAUCCAGCUCUGUGGAAAAUACAAAGCAAACCUGGGAGAGUGGUGAACAGAUGGAUGAGGGACAAAAUCAUGUCCGUUUCUCAAUCUUGAGAACUGCCCAAGGUGACUCUACUUCUCGCUCUCCUUCAGUAACCUCAAAUCUGGAGGAAGUAAAUGAUAUGUACUGAAAGCCCCAUGGUUACUUUUGGAAUGGUCUACUAGAUUUGACCAGUGCUGGAGAGUAUUCAGUGGAUGAUUUGCAGUUACAUCUGCUAAGAAACCUACAUGGCCACUGCUUCAAAUUUGUUCCAGAUGGAUCUAGUCAUAGAAUGAUUGAUUAUCCACUCAGUUGCGAGCUAUGUGGUUAAGCUCAGAAAUCUGCAACAAACUGAUCUGGAGCUGUGUUUCACGAUGGAGUGCCAAGGCCAAGGGUCAGGCAGGCUCACAGAUGGACCUUUGGAACUAAUCCAGAUUCAGAGCAACACUGAACCCAUCCAUCCAGAGCCAAAGGCAGGUCUGGACAUUCAUGGAUGGAAUUUACCUAAGGUGAGGCUCACCUGUGGAAGUGACAGUGGCAGGCCCCAGCGAAUGGGAAUCCCAGGCAGAAUUCAAACACUGCCUCUGAGCAACAGUGACUCUCCAUGGCAAGUGGCAGGUGCAUUAGGUCAGGAAGCUGGCUUGUCCUGUGGUCGUCAAGUAUCAGGAAGAACUCAGUACACCUUUGUUGGCUGGUUGAUUUUGCAAGUCCUUGGAUAUUCCUUUUUUUAGCUUUAAGUGAUAUAUAGAAAAGUAUACUCUUCCACUUAGAGUUAAUACAGAUGAUGGAAGAAGGAAUUGUAUGUAUAGCAGCUAAUAUGGAUCUACACUUGUCACGUAAGUGCUCCAGGAAUGUGACUUUUCUUCUCUCCUCAGGUGAGUGGUGGCCCAUCUACCUGCCAAGGGACAACGGUGCUAGAAUGGGUAGGAAUUAAAACUGGAGUCAGUGGUUUCUCACCUUGGCCUGUGGUCCUCUGUAGGCAGGCAGGGUUAGGAGAGGGGUGGAGGAAAGGUUUGCAGAGUUAUCUGCAAAAGAUUUAAAAUUUAUAUGUGCAUCAAACAUUGCAUAUAGAUGAAUUAAACACAAUCUCUUGCACAUAGUUCCUUCUCACUCUCAAAUAUCUAUUCGCACACUAUUGUGGUAAACAUAUACAUGUUUAUCUAUAAUCACUACAAAAUGAAUUGUAGUUUUUUGCCAUCCUUUGUUUUCUCAGCUGCUAUCAAGUGAUGUCUAAGAAAUGUUUUGAAUAGAAAAGGUUUUUUCCUCCUGUUGAAAAACAGUGGGAACUGCCGUUCUAUAGCAUUGCUUAAGGUAAGGCUUCCCAGGUGUAGUCCUAAGACCUGUCGUACCUGUUUAAAGUGCAGUUGCCCAGCUCCACCCCUCACAGUCUGGAUUAGAAUCUCCCAGGCUAGGAACUGGAAAUCUGCUUUCUAACAAAUGUCCUGAUGUCAAUUUUCCCAUGCAUUGAGAACACCGGGCUUGAGAUAGUCGGAAAAUACGUUGACAGAAUCAGGAAUCAGGUUCAGGAGGUUAAAGCUUUGUUUCUUCAAGUUUUACCUGAAGAUGGAGUAUUAUUUCUUUCCCGUUUAAAUCCUUGCAUACUAUCCAAAAACUGGCUAGAAUAUCUAUCAAUCAUGUCAGAGAGUCUAAUGACAAUUUUAAAGCACCGUAUCCCUGCUGGAACUCUAAAACCGAAGACAGAUGGUUUUGGAUCAUCUACAGAUGAGGCUUAGUCACACAACUAUUUGCCUUCAUCCGUGUGCAGUGAAAUACAAUGUGAAUUAAAUUACAGUGGGCAGGGGAGCUGGACUACAGAUCUGAAAUCAUUAGCAGCUCCUGAGAGCAUCCACCUGAGUUGUGUGUAUUUAAAUAUAAUCUUCAAUACAAUUACGAAACAUUUACCACCAUCUGUGUUGUCAUAGCAAAGUGCAGGGGCAGCAAAUAUCUGGUCUACGUUUUGACAUCCUCCCCACCCCCACCAGUUUGCAUGGCAGCUAGACGUUUCUAAUCAAUUCUAGCAAUCCUUCCCCUUAAGUCAGGAUAUUUAUGCCUCAGAAUCCUUUUCUCCAGGCAGCUGUUAGCAGAUGGGAUGAUGGAGGAUGAAACCUAUUUGCUACGUCUGGGAUGGUGAAGGGCAUGGGCUUUGCAGUCGUGGGUUUAGGGGGUUCGAAUCCCAGUUUUGCCACUUACAGGUUGUGAGACAGAGCAAGAUACUUACAAAAUUUAGGUACUCUUGCAGCCUCAUUCUCCUUAUUUGCACAAGUGGGAUUACAGCCCCAUUUCACAGGAUUAUCGUGAAGGUGACAGAAAGAAUACAUGUAAAUUGCUUAGUAUUCCUAGCACAUAACGAGUACUCAAUAAAUUUUAGGUGUUGUUAUUUUUAAUCUAGCUUGCAAUGAUGUGAUGGGCGCAAGGAGAAAGGGACUCAUUUUGCGGGACUGCUUGAGUUCUAUAAAGCAGGUGUGGAAGAUUUUAUUAGCAGAGUGCUUCCUUACUGCAACCCUCUCUCUGGGAUUAUGGCCCACAUUUACUGAGGGCUUAACAAUUACAGAAACUGUUCUAAGUACUUUUUGAGGAGUAACUAAUUUAAUCCUCACAAGAACCCAGUGAAGUAGAUGUUCUUAUCCCCAGUUUAUAGGGGCAGCACCUGAGGCAUAAAGAGGUUAAGUAGCUCAUAAGGGACAUGCCGUUUGAAAUGGGGACUCCGGCCAGCAGCCGCACUUGGAACUUGUGAGAAGGUAGAUUCUCAGGCCCUGCCCCUGACUCCCUGCAUCAGAACUCUGUGGGUGGGCCCAGAAAUCUUUGUUUGAACAAGCCCUCCAGGCGAUUCUGAGGCACAUCAAGCUUUCAGAACCACAAUCCAGAAGGCAAAGGAGCAUUGGCAGGACAAGAAGUCGAUCAGGAGUGAGGUGAGCUGAUGAAGAAGCAUGUCCCCAUUAAGGAAGGGUGAGUGUCUUUUCAGAACUUUGAUUCCUAGCUGUACCUUCCAGUAUUCAUCUGGGAAUUCUGUGUGUUUUUUCCUGUUUAUGAGGAAAAUUGGUUUAUUUGUUCUAUUGUUUGUUUUGUUUUUUUUUUACUUUGUGUUACAAGUUCCACUAGAACAAAUAAGAAACCCCUUGUCUGUCUAGCACCUGCCAGAGAAGUAACCCUCAUCAGUGGAGGGAGGGGAUCAAAUGCCUAGCAUGGUGGAAACUUACCAGCUCCCAAGGUCUGGGCAGUGGAUCUGAAACUUCAGAGUCCCUGUGAACCAGCUGGAGCCUUUGUUAAAAUGAAGAUUCUCAGGUCCUGCUCUCCCCUAUUCUGAUUCAGUAGGUCUGAGGUAGAGCCCAGGAAUCUGCAUUUUAAUAAGCAUCUAGUCCA